rnacentral:rRNA from 1 species
GACGAACGCUGGCGGCGUGCUUAACACAUGCAAGUCGAACGGAAAGGCCCCGCCUUUGUGGGGUGCUCGAGUGGCGAACGGGUGAGUAACACGUGAGUAACCUGCCCUUGACUUUGGGAUAACAUCAGGAAACUGGGGCUAAUACCGGAUAGGAGCUUCUGCUGCAUGGUGGGGGUGGGAAAGUUUCGGCGGUUGGGGAUGGGCUCGCGGCUUAUGCGCUUGUUGGGGGGGUUGUGGCUGACCAAGGCUUUGACGGGUAGCCGGCCUGAGAGGGUGAACGGCCACAUUGGGACUGAGAUACGGCGCAGACUCCUACGGGAGGCAGCAGUGGGGAAUAUUGCGCAACGGGCGCGAGCCUGAUGCAACGACGCCGCGUGCGGGAUGACGGCCUUCGGGUUGUGAACCGCUUUCGCCUGGGACGAAGCGGGAGUGACGGUAAUUGGUAAAGAAGCACCGGCUAACUACGUG